rnacentral:sRNA from 1 species
GCAGAAAGGCUAUAACCAUGGACAAGGCAGCUACUCCUACUCGAACUCCUACAACUCUCCCGGGGGCGGGGGCGGAUCCGACUACAACUACGAGAGCAAAUUCAGUGAGUUGGCUUCCAGAGCCCCUCGGCCGGGCCAGGGUCCAGGCCCCAGCAGUACAGCCCACGGAGUGGCAGAAGCUCGGCACUGCCCAGACCUCUGGCUGAGGGCCUUAGGAGGAGGACAAGUGGUGCUGGCUGCGGGCGGGUGCUAGGAAGAUGGGGCGUGGGACCUCAUGGUGCAGUCUCCGCCACUCUCUCUGGUGUGUUCUCCGAAGGCAGGGUAGCUGAGGCCUCUGUCUCGAGGCCCUGGCUGUGGGUGAGGCUGCAAGGUGACUUCCUGGGACUUGCUCUAGAGAGUUUUGCAUCCAGCCCCUGCAAGAGCCUGACCUCUCCGCCACCGCCUUUCCGCUUCCUCAUGCGCAGACCCAGCAGGCCCGGGCUGCACCAGUGACCCAGUGGGGCUGAGUAGACUACAGUGGUAGUGGAGGCCGAAGCGGCGGGAACAGCUACGGCUCAGGCGGGGCAUCCUACAACCCAGGGUCACACGGGGGCUACGGCGGAGGUUCUGGGGGCGGCUCCUCAUACCAAGGCAAACAAGGAGGCUACUCACAGUCGAACUACAACUCCCCGGGGUCCGGCCAGAACUACAGUGGCCCUCCCAGCUCCUACCAGUCCUCACAAGGCGGCUAUGGCAGAAACGCAGACCACAGCAUGAACUACCAGUACAGAUAAGCCCCCGCGGGGCGGAGAUUUCUACCUUCUGCACUUACUCCCCAUCAGAAGAUCGAGUUUUAUGCAUCACAGUUAACAUGUCAGCUGGCCCUCCAGGCCCCCGCCCCCACCCCGUCCACGUUGCUGUGUCGUGAGGUGCAGCGGGUCACCCUGUGGCCCGUCCUGUGACCCAUAUUUAGCCGUGUUUGGGACUCCGUGUCUUCAAUGGUUUGUUAGUUGCCAUUACAACUUUGUCUGGGUAGAGUUUUUGAGUUUUUGCAGUUCAGUAUCCCUCUGUCUAUUCACACUUCGUGUUAGUGGUAACUCAGUUUGUCUUUAAAUAGUUACGGAAGGGAUACGUCAUUUGUUAAUGCUUUUGUGAAGUGAGUUACACGAGCUUUCUGUAUUUUAAUGCUUUAGUGUUUCAGUUUUAUAAGUGAAGAUUUUAUUUUAAAAACCAGUGGGAAAGAGUGGGGGGUUUCUUUUUAUGUCUGGGUCAUUCAGGCAGUACAUCUGAAUUAAGCUGAAUGUAGACAAAUAAAGAAAAACAAAACUGCGCCCGUCUUAGGCCUGGGUGUCUGACCCACCAGCAGUGCAAUGGGCAGGUUUCCCCACUCUAUUCCUGCUCUUGGGAAAGCAGGGUGGGCCAUCAGGAUGGUCCCUGGUCCUUAGAGAGGGUCCAGUUCCAGGCUUCUAGACAUUUUACUCAUGCUCAGCGAAGGCUGGUUCCUGGUCCCCUGGGCUGUGUAGACCCGGUGUCCCACCAGGCUCCAGGCUCCCACCGUCUACAGAGGGGCUUACAGCGCCCAUUCUGGUCUUGGGGAACCCAUCACAAAAUAGGCUUUUUCUGCUCCCUGAUUCUGGUGUAGUUCUAAGUACGCAGUGAUCUCCUCUGUAGGGGCGUGCCUGUGGUGGAACAUAACGCAGUUACAAAAGAAAGGGCAGGUGAGGCCUGGGUCACCCCAGCCAUGAACCGUCAGUGGUUGGAGGGAGCUUCGUGUCUGUGCUGGAGCUGCAGCCUGCUCGCCAUCUGGAGGCUCAAUGGAGUGGGGAGUUGGGGUUCUCAUACCAGCAGAUUUCCCUAGAGCGUGAUUCUCCCAUCUGAGGCAAUCUUGCCUCCCAGGGGAAAUUUUGCAAUGUUUGGAGGAUGUUGUCACAGUUAGUAGCGGGUGCUCUGGGAUCUGGUGGAUAGAUGCCAAGGAUGCUGUCAAGCAUACUAUACUGCCCAGAACAGUGGCCCAUAGCAGGGACCUGCCCUAUCAAAAUAUCAGGCGUAUGGAGGUGGAGACCCAACGCUAGAGCAGCCCUUCUCAGCUCCACCCUGCCCGGGGAGGGAGGAGGAGCUCUGGUUUCAGAGCAGUGCCGGGAUUGCCUUUCCCCAGGAUCUGUGUCGGCCAUCCAGGAAGAACUGUACUGGCCAAGCCUGGGACCACACGUCUGCAGAGAUCCUGCUCUGCUGGCCUGAGCCCCAGGCCUUGGCCUCCUGUGCUUGGGUAACCAUGGCCACUGGGAAAAGCAAGGACCAUGUUUGACUUUCUUGGAGAGGUGAAAGAGGUGAAAGAACAAGUUGUGUGCUAGAAAACUUUUGAGGAAUUCUUAUUUGUGUUAGAGCAGAGGAGGUCCCAGAUACCAAGUGGCGCCUCCCAGGAAAGGCUGGGAGAAGAGGUGGCCUGGAGUACCCCGAGAUCCCAGCAGCACACACAGUGGAGGGAUGAGGAUGGAUGGGUCCUAACCCCCGAUUUUGAUGGGAUGUGUUCAUGUCCUAUCUCCUCUCCUGGACACAUUAAGGGGUUGGGACAAGAAGAGACUCCUGUGAGAUCAGCAGACCUUGUGUUUAAGGAGAGAAUGCCUGCCUGCAACACUCAUGGAGAGGGACACUUCCUGGCCCCACCUGCUAAAUACCUCCAAACUCUGGGCAGGCGCCUGCAUUCUCAACACAGGACUUCCCUUACAGUUUCCCGACCAGUGACCACCACCACGUUCAGGUUUCUGAAUGCAGACCCACCACGAGGGAUGGAUUCCACCCGCCCGCCCUGCUGCAGAUAUAUGCAGCACAGCAGGCACGUGCCUGGAGAGAACAGUUCCUGAGCACAGCACCCUUGGAGCCCUCACCCCGCUCACGAUCCUCACCAGUGCUGAUGAUGCCGUCAUGCUGCUGGCCUGAGACAGUAUCCCAGCUACAACAGGACGACACCGGGUUCAGGAAUAUGUGGCUAUCACCUUGAGCACUGACAGUGGCCUUCCAGGCUAGUUGCCUUCCAAACGCAGGUAGCCGACCUGCAGGAGGGCCUACAAACGGGCCCAGCAAGAGCUGGGCAACAGCUGGCUUGUGAAAUGAGACACCUCGACCAAUAUGCUUUGGGUGGACGGUGUCCUACAUGUUCAGUGGAGGCCACCAGGAGCAUCCAUGAGCGGGGAAGGGGUCCACACCCUUACAUGGCGAGUUGAUACGAUGGGGUGCUUGGUGGAUGGGCCAUGGAGGUCCGUGAGCUGGAACUGGGCACACGCCAUCCCAGAGGGCUCAGGAUGCCCCAGGAAGGAAAGAAGGGCAACAGACUACACGAUUGGACGUGUGUGGUUGACUGGGAUGAAGUUGGAGGGAGGGACAGGGCCUUGCAGGGGAUUGGUACUGAUCCCAGGGAGGAAGUGUUGGGGCUUCAUGAAGUAGGAUGAAAGGAGGCCCCUGAGCCAUGACAAGGGGCACAUCCAGGAUUUCCGCCACCCUGAAUUUAGUAGAGCUAGUAGGCCCUGGUCGUCACUCUGGGCAGGGAUGCCGUCAGCCUUGAGGGUCGCCACCCACCUGUGUGUUGCCCUCUGUCCUGGCAGGGAAACAUAAACCCCUUGUCUCACCACCAACCUUGCUUGUGUAGUCAGCAGGGCUGGCCCUGCCCCAAGGACUCACUGCAUGUACCCGGACCCCUAGGCCUGGCCUUUGCAGCAUAGUUGGGAGCUUCUGGAUUCCAUCUGCACCUGUGAGCCCCAUGCUGGCUGUGCACUGCGCGGGCCUGAGACUGCUGGAUACAAUGUUGGGCAACAACUCAGCCAGCCUGAUGGCAGCCUCAGAGGCUUACUCUAACCCAUCCCAGAAUAAAUGGAGACUUCAUGUG